rnacentral:rRNA from 1 species
GUAAGGAAUAUUGGACAAUGGUGGCAACACUGAUCCAGCCAUGCCGCGUGAAGGAUGAAGGCCCUAUGGGUUGUAAACUUCUUUUGUACGGGAAAAAACCUUCUUACGUGUAAGAAGCUGAUUGUACUGUAAGAAUAAGGAUCGGCUAACUCCGUGCCAGCAGCCGCGGUAAUACGGAGGAUCCAAGCGUUAUCCGGAUUCAUUGGGUUUAAAGGGUGCGUAGGCGGAAUGAUAAGUCAGUGGUGAAAUCUCGCAGCUUAACUGCGAAACUGCCAUUGAUACUGUCAAUCUUGAGUACAUUUGAUGAGGGCGGAAUGUGUCAUGUAGCGGUGAAAUGCUUAGAUAUGACACAGAACACCGAUUGCGAAGGCAGCUCUCAAAACUGUAACUGACGCUGAGGCACGAAAGCGUGGGUAUCAAACAGGAUUAGAAACCCCAGUAGUCC